rnacentral:tRNA from 1 species
GGGGCUGUAGCUCACUUUGGUAGAGCAUCGUGUUUGCAUCGCGAGGGUAGUCGGUUCGAUUCCGUCCAGCUCCACAA